rnacentral:rRNA from 1 species
AGGUGCGAUCAUACCAGCACUAAUGCAUCAGAUCCCAUCAGAACUCCGCAGUUAAGCGUGCUUGGGCGAGAGUAGUACUAG